UACAGAGGCCUCAAGCGUUAGGCGGAAUCACUGGGCUUAAAGCGCGUGUAGGCGGGGUCGGUGCGUCGGCCGCUGAAAUCCCCCCGGCUCAACCGGGGAAGGGGCGCCGAUACGACCGGCCUGGAGCGACGUAGGGGGAACUGGAACUUCCGGUGGAGCGGUGAAAUGCGUUGAGAUCGGAAGGAACGCCCGUGGCGAAAGCGAGUUCCUGGACGUCGGCUGACGCUGAGACGCGAAAGCCAGGGGGAGCG
rnacentral:rRNA from 1 species